rnacentral:rRNA from 1 species
UACAGAGGUCUCAAGCGUUGUUCGGAUUCAUUGGGCGUAAAGAGCUCGUAGGUGGUUCGGUAAGUCGGAUGUGAAAUCUCCAGGCUCAACCUGGAGGGGUCAUUCGAUACUGCCGUGACUAGAGGUCGGUAGGGGAGUGUGGAAUUCCUGGUGGAGCGGUGAAAUGCGCAGAUAUCAGGAGGAACACCCGUAGCGAAGGCGGCACUCUGGGCCGAUACUGACACUGAGGAGCGAAAGCGUGGGGAGCGAACAGG